rnacentral:rRNA from 1 species
UACAGAGGUGGCAAGCGUUGUUCGGAAUUACUGGGCGUAAAGGGCGCGUAGGCGGUCAGGUCAGUCCCGUGUGAAAUCCCUCGGCUCAACUGAGGAACUGCACGGGAAACUGCCUGGCUUGAGUUCGGGAGAGGGAAGCGGAAUUCCGGGUGUAGCGGUGAAAUGCGCAGAUAUCGGGAGGAACACCAAUGGCGAAGGCAGCUCGCUGGGACGUUACUGACGCUGAGACGCGAAAGCGUGGGGAGCAAACAGGG